UAUUGACUCAGUGGUUAGAGUGUUAAAUUCAAGAUCAAUAGGAUGUAGGUUCAAUCCUGCCAUAAGAU